rnacentral:lncRNA from 1 species
CGUAAGUAUGCGGAUAUGCAAUUUGAUUGGCUAGAUACUUAUUUUAAAAUACAGUGCGCGAGUUUUCGCCUUUGAGUGUUGUGGUUGUCAUUUUACUUUUUUACCUUUUAAGAUAAAUGUUAUAUGUAAUAUUUUAGCAACUCGUUAGAACUGUCAAAGCAAAGGAAGUAGUACAAGACAAGAGGAUAAAUUGUCGGUUUAACGUGAUAUGAAAAUGAAGUGUUUAAAGGUUGACGAAUACAUAAAACGGACAGCUUGUCCAAAAGAGACAAGGGUUCUACAUGAAGAAUUAGAGACUUACAUGAGAAAUGGACCUGGGCCACAAGGUCGAACAUUGUAUGACCGAGUUAUCAGGGCCUGUAACCACCAACUUGGAGUUGGGCCCCCGGACAGUGACCAUAUUGCUGGACUCAUAAAGCUGGUGGAGCUUGCACUCAGGGGGUAUGACAUCUCAGGGGAGCUUGGUGUGCAAAGCACCCCUUUGUAUAUGGAGAAAAUCACCUUUCAUGUACUCAAGAAACUGGGCUCCUUGGGAGUGUACCAUCCAUGUAGCUACUUGGGAAGCCUACUCUACCAGAGGUUGGCUCCAGCUCCACAGGUAAAGGAUGGAUGAUAGAGUACUAGUACAGUACUUCCUAUUAUAGUAACUGUAGUCAGCUGUUUUUACAUCAUCUCUGAUUGUGUCUUCUCAAUCUCUUGUUGAAUGUGUCUUCCUUCCUCUUGUGUGCCCCAUAGACAGAAGACUACUGUGUGCUUGUACGCAGCUGCUUUGCUGUACUGUGGAAUGGACUGUCUGCAGCACAAGACGGCGCCUGCCUAAACCCCAGGGACAAAUUCUGCUGCCAGUUGCAAGCCCUGAGCUUCCUGCUGCUGCUGGACAGGGAGAGAACCUCACCCC